UUCUCCUACAAAGACGUGUGGGUGGUUCUGUCUUUGGACAUGCAAGAACUGGAGAUAAAGAAACAUGGUCUUAGAGAAAUCCGGGGCCAGCUUGCUCCCUGCAGGCUCAAGAUCAAACACCCCACACAG